rnacentral:rRNA from 1 species
UAAUGGUCUCGUACGUGACCUGCGGAGGGAUCAUUACACAAAUAUGAAGGCGGGCUGGAACCUCUCGGGGUUACAGCCUUGCUGAAUUAUUCACCCUUGUCUUUUGCGUACUUCUUGUUUCCUUGGUGGGUUCGCCCACCACUAGGACAAACAUAAACCUUUUGUAAUUGCAAUCAGCGUCAGUAACAAAUUAAUAAUUACAACUUUCAACAACGGAUCUCUUGGUUCUGGCAUCGAUGAAGAACGCAGCGAAAUGCGAUAAGUAGUGUGAAUUGCAGAAUUCAGUGAAUCAUCGAAUCUUUGAACGCACAUUGCGCCCUUUGGUAUUCCAAAGGGCAUGCCUGUUCGAGCGUCAUUUGUACCCUCAAGCUUUGCUUGGUGUUGGGCGUCUUGUCUCUAGCUUUGCUGGAGACUCGCCUUAAAGUAAUUGGCAGCCGGCCUACUGGUUUCGGAGCGCAGCACAAGUCGCACUCUCUAUCAGCAAAGGUCUAGCAUCCAUUAAGCCUUUUUUUCAACUUUUGACCUCGGAUCAGGUAGGGAUACCCGCUGAACUUAA